CUGGAGAGGGCGUCUGCGAAUGCUGGGAAAUACUCAGUAGUCAGAACUGCGCCUUCGAAGGCUCCAAGGAGUUGAGGUUUGAAGCUGUGAUCUCGACGGUGGAGUGGCGCUGGGGGUCUGGGCGCUCGGAGCGGGGAGCUCAGGAGCUGCGCAGCUGGGGACGCUGCAGGGCAGCAGCGCCACCCGUCAACCCCUUAUAACGUUUUAGGAAUCCGUCGCCUCCAGCGUCACCAACCCGACCUGACAUCUCUGCGAAGUGCAUCCCUGCCCCGUUUCCGACCCGUCCAGUCCCCGCGCCUUGCCCGGCAGGCGCCCAGGACACAGGUUUGGCUCCGCCCUACUUGGAUUUGAGUGCAUAAGCUCGAUUUGACUUUUCGGAAUGCCCGAGGGUGGAGGGCAGAAGGGAAAAGCCUGAGGUCAGGGGCAUUUAUUUCUUGGAGAAAAAAAGCACUGGCCUUGAAUUUAGGAGACGAUACUCGAGCUCCAGCUUCGCCACCUACUGGCUGUGCGACUGCCUCUUCUCUGAGCCUCAGUUUCCUUUUCUCUAAAGUGGCGAUGACCCUGUUGCCUUAAAAGUGCGAUUCUGAGACGUGGGAUUUUGAGAGUGACUGCUGGAAUACUUUGAUCCAGUAAACCUCUAUCAAGAGCCUACUGUGUGCCAAGCGUCAGAAAACGCCUUGUAAAGUGUGAAGCAUUGUAAAUACAUAAGAUGCUAUUAUCGUUUUUGCUGUUAGAAGUCAUCAUCUUUUCCUUCCUCCAAAUCUAAUUGUACCUAAGAAGAGCUCGACAAAAUGAAGCCCGACGGCGGUACAUGAGCGGGUGGAUGUAUCUGGCGUUGGAGUGGUCAGCCGCGGGGUGCACACGGCUUUCUCUCGCAGUGCCACCGGCCAAGAAAGACAGCCCAGCUUUCGUCCCCCAAAGUUUCUAGCACCUCCGCUCGCGGGCGAGACUGGCUGGGUUGUCUGAGCCGUAGGUGUGCGAGUUUGAGGGAAGGAGGAUACAAGGGGGUCCAGCCAGCAGCGGAGAGCCAGGGGAUAGCGCCGGGCCGCGCAGGCUCAGGGUUGCCGUGCCAGCGUCGCUCCACCUCGACAUUGACCCCAGGCUCUCGUCUGACCGAAACUCACUCCGCAAAGACCCUACGUGCUGCCCAGAGUCAGAAACCUGACUUUUAAAUCUCCACUCUUCGAGGCGAGAUUCGUCUCGAACACCGCGGCUGUGUACACUGCCUGUGGCCCGGGGCGCGCAAUCAGCGUGGAGAUGGGAAGCGUUUGUGUCACCCUAGCAGAGCAAUUUCCCCUUUACAGUCCACCCGCGCCUCACACCUCUUGGCCAACAUCCAGAAGCUUUCCUACGGGCCGUGUCUGUUUAGGUAGCGGCCACUGACAACCAUAACCACCAAAUAAAUAACCAACGAUUAAAAAUUAAAUAACUUUCUUGCGCUCCCUCCGACGACUAAUAACAAAGACUCCGCACAUCAGCAACCAGGUGUCGCGGUUAAACUCCUGACAGUAACUGUCUUCCUUUUCAGCCAGCCAGUUCUGGAAUACAUUACAUUAAUUAAGUCUUUGGUGAUUUAGCCUCCUUGGAGAGAAGUCCAACAAUGUAAUUAAGAGCAUACUGGCUAUAUUAGAUAUGAAUAUUCAAAACAGUGUCAAUU
rnacentral:lncRNA from 10 species